GAUGAACGCUGGCGGCGUGCUUAACACAUGCAAGUCGAACGGAAAGGCCCAAGCUUGCUUGGGUACUCGAGUGGCGAACGGGUGAGUAACACGUGGGUGAUCUGCCCUGCACUUCGGGAUAAGCCUGGGAAACUGGGUCUAAUACCGGAUAGGACCACUUCUUGGAUGUUGUGGUGGAAAGUUUUUCGGUGUGGGAUGAGCUCGCGGCCUAUCAGCUUGUUGGUGGGGUAAUGGCCUACCAAGGCGUCGACGGGUAGCCGGCCUGAGAGGGUGUACGGCCACAUUGGGACUGAGAUACGGCCCAGACUCCUACGGGAGGCAGCAGUGGGGAAUAUUGCACAAUGAGCGCAAGCCUGAUGCAGCGACGCCGCGUGGGGGAUGACGGCCUUCGGGUUGUAAACUCCUUUCGCUAGGGACGAAGCUUAUUUUGUGACGGUACCUGGAGAAGAAGCACCGGCUAACUACGUG
rnacentral:rRNA from 1 species